AGUGAACGCUGGCGGCGUGCUUAACACAUGCAAGUCGAACGAGAACGGAUUAUAGCUUGCUAUAAUUGUCAGCUAAGUGGCGCACGGGUGAGUAAUGUAUAGGUAAUAUGCCUCUUACUAAGGGAUAACAAAUGGAAACGUUUGCUAAUACCUUAUACUCCUUAUUAACAGAAGUUAAUAAGGGAAAGAUUUAUUGGUAAGAGAUUAGCCUGUAUUGUAUCAGUUAGUUGGUGGGGUAAUGGCUUACCAAGACUAUGACACAUAACUGGUUUAAGAGGAUGAUCAGUCACACUGGAACUGAGAAACGGUCCAGACUCCUACGGGAGGCAGCAGUGGGGAAUAUUGCACAAUGGACGAAAGUCUGAUGCAGCAACGCCGCGUGGAGGAUGACACGUUUCGGUGCGUAAACUCCUUUUAUAUGAGAAGAUAAUGACGGUAUUAUAUGAAUAAGCACCGGCUAACUCCGUGCCAGCAGCCGCCGUAAAAC
rnacentral:rRNA from 1 species